UGCCAGCCGCCGCGGUAAGACAGAGGGUGCAAGCGUUAAUCGGAAUUACUGGGCGUAAAGCGUACGUAGGCGGCUAAUUAAGUCAGAUGUGAAAGCCCCGAGCUCAACUUGGGAAGGUCAUCCGAUACUGGUUAGCUAGAGUGGGGUAGAGGAGAGUGGAAUUUCCGGUGUAGCGGUGAAAUGCGUAGAGAUCGGAAGGAACACCAGUAGCGAAGGCGACUCUCUGGACUCAAACUGACGCUGAGGUACGAAAGCGUGGGGAGCAAACAGGAUUAGAUA
rnacentral:rRNA from 1 species